rnacentral:rRNA from 1 species
CAGCACCUCAAGUGGUCAGGAUGAUUAUUGGGCCUAAAGCAUCCGUAGCCGGCGCUGUAAGUUUUCGGUUAAAUCUGUACGCUCAACGUACAGGCUGCCGGGAAUACUGCAGCGCUAGGGAGUGGGAGAGGUAGACGGUACUCGGUAGGAAGGGGUAAAAUCCUUUGAUCUAUUGAUGACCACCUGUGGCGAAGGCGGUCUACCAGAACACGUCCGACGGUGAGGGCUGAAAGCUGGGGGAGCAAACCGGAUUAGAUACCCGAGUAGUCC